GGUCCCAUUGCACUGCAGUGAGACACUGCCUGUCCGCCGUCCUGCCUAGCACGUAACCCUGGCAGCUGCAGAGGGCAGCACAAUGCAGUACGUGCGUUACUGGCUGAGUAUAAACAAGAAUGUGGGAGACGUUGGAUAUCGACCUACUUAUGGUGAGAUGUAACAGUUCACUAGACCACCAAGGACACGCAGGAGAAGGAGCGUUGAGGAGACAGUCUGGGCUCAGCAGGACACGCACACAGCAUACACCGGCUUGCGGGCAAGGAAGACCAAGACGCACAGUUUCUCCUGACCAGCGCUGGUGGGUCUGGGAAGGCGACGCUCAGGCUGAAUGGCACAACUAUCCACCACACCAGGGCACCUUAUUGUCGCACAGUUCCUGCAUGGCCUGCCUAACACCACCACCACCACGUCAAUAACUGAGAGACACACAAGGGCUGGACCUUUGGACAUGCACCUUGGAUACACACCGCCCGCAGCCCGACACACAAAAUACUGCACAGAGAGGAAAAGUAAUUGCAUGAAAGAAGAAUAGAUAAAAUAAAAAAUGAAAAAGGUUUGUAUGUAAA